UACGUAGGUGGCAAGCGUUGUCCGGAAUUAUUGGGCGUAAAGCGCGCGCAGGUGGUUUCUUAAGUCUGAUGUGAAAGCCCACGGCUCAACCGUGGAGGGUCAUUGGAAACUGGGGAACUUGAGUGCAGGAGAGAAGAGUGGAAUUCCACGUGUAGCGGUGAAAUGCGUAGAGAUGUGGAGGAACACCAGUGGCGAAGGCGGCUUUCUGGGCCUUACCUGACGCUGAGACGCGAAAGCGUGGGGAGCGAACCGG
rnacentral:rRNA from 1 species